GAUCCUGGCUCAGGAUGAACGCUAGCUACAGGCUUAACACAUGCAAGUCGAGGGGCGAGCAUGGUCUUAGCUUGCUAAGGCCGAUGGCGACCGGCGCACGGGUGAGUAACACGUAUCCAACCUGCCGUCUACUCUUGGACAGCCUUCUGAAAGGAAGAUUAAUACAAGAUGGCAUCAUGAGUCCGCAUGUUCACAUGAUUAAAGAAUUUCGGUUAUCGAUGGGGA
rnacentral:rRNA from 1 species